UUCAAGCUCAAGAUCAAGCAGCGAGUCACGUUUUUGCUUAUGCGUUGGUGUGCGUCGCUUUGUAAUCCGUGUUUAUUAGUGAUAUCUCCGUUGUACUGAGGCACUUUGGGUCUUCAAGAGGGCGGUGUGUGAGCGGGCCACUCUUGAUGUGCCGCAGAAGUCACCUGAGUAUUGGUGGACUUACUGAUGUGUCUGCUGGCUCUUGGUAAUACCCUGGCAGCGAUGACCACACUAAUGCCUGCACUGCUUCCAUCACGCUGGCCAAUAUCGCUCCAGCUACACCGCGACCCGUAGAAAUUUAAGCAAGAGUCCUCAGAGUCCUCCGGGAAGACUGAAGGGGGAAGUCCUGCUGCUGGUCCUGCUACCGGAGGCGCUGCAGGGAGCAGCAUCAAGACAGAGGAACUAGAUUGGUCAGCUGGAUGAUGAAGAUGGUCGGUGGAAGAAAAGGUAGGCAUCUUUUAUACAGGGACUGCCACGUGUAGGCCUCUUGACUUCUUGCAGUUUUCUUCUGUUUUCUUAUGUUCUUAUGUUUUCUUUGUGUGUGUGUGUGUGUGUGUGUGUGUGUGUGUGUGUGUGUUUGUUCUUUACGUGUUAGUACAUCAUUUUUAUUAAUCUUUUUAGAGAGUAAUAGGUAACAUUUCUCCUCCUUAAUUAAUCUGAAUGAAUAAGUAA